AGCCCAGACUCCUACGGGAGGCAGCAGUGGGGAAUAUUGGGCAAUGGGCGCAAGCCUGACCCAGCAACGCCGCGUGAAGGAAGAAGGCUUUCGGGUUGUAAACUUCUUUUCUGAGGGACGAAGAAAGUGACGGUACCUCAGGAAUAAGCCACGGCUAACUACGUGCCAGCAGCCGCGGUAAUACGUAGGGGGCGAGCGUUAUCCGGAAUUACUGGGUGUAAAGGGAGCGUAGACGGCGAGGUAAGCCUGAAGUGGAAGCCCGCGGCCCAACCGCGGAACUGCUUUGGGAACUGUUUUGCUGGAGUACCGGAGAGGUAAGCGGAAUUCCUAGUGUAGCGGUGAAAUGCGUAGAUAUUAGGAGGAACACCAGUGGCGAAGGCGGCUUACUGGACGGUAACUGACGUUGAGGCUCGAAAGCGUGGGGAGCAAACAGGAUUAGAUACCCGAGUAC
rnacentral:rRNA from 1 species